CCUUCGCCAUGCCUUCGUCCUGGGGGUGGCCUGCAGUGUUGGUAGGGGACCCUGCCUUUCCUGGCCAUCCCCAUAGGCCACAGGCCCCUCCAGUAUGCUGCUCCUGCACGGUGCCCAGAGCCUGUUCCACCCCGCCAGGCACCUCUGUCCGUCACAUCGGCUGCACACAUCAGCUCUGCCCCACUCUGUGUUUCUGAAUUACUCUCACUGGCAACCAGCACAAGCUCUGCCCUCCCAGUGUCCUGAUAUCCUCUGGUUAAUAAGCAGCUCACAUAAAGACACCAAGAGCUGUUGCAAGUGGUAGAGAAAAGCCACAGCUCUCUGAAUACAGUCCAGGAAGCCCUGGACUUGGCCCAGGAACUUGGUGGCUGUUUCUGUUCUCUGCCCCUUGGUAGCCUUCCUCACCGGGUAUAAAAGGGAGAGAAGCUUGAAUCCUUACCCUGAGGCAUAGGAGACUACAAGGCAGUGAGGGGCUUAUUAGUCAAUGAGAGACUUUUGCUGAAGCUGGACGACCCUUCCUGGAGGAGUCCUCUUUUCUAAAAGAAAACAAAUUCCUGCCCUUUAUUCUUUCAAAUCUACUUCUAGAAAAGUCUUAGAGUUCCUGUUAAUUCAAACACCAAUCUCCCACCUUCCCUCUCUCCUGUCUCUAUGAGCUGCCUGGGCGGCACACUUCCUACCCACCUGCUCACUCCCUCCAUCUCCUAUACUGUUUUAUCCCCUGGAGUUUGGAGAUGUCCCUGUGGAAGGGGACAGUGGGGAGUGUGUGCCAGAUCCCCCCCGCCCAUUGUCACCUUGGUCUGAAUCCAACCCCACAAGGGGAGCUGGAGCCGUCUCCCUGCAUCUCCCUGGGCCUGCCCAUUGUCAAGGUCCUGGUCACCUUUGAAGCCUCCUGCAGGGAUCCCCAGUGCCAAUGGAGCCUUUUCCAAAGCCCAGUAGCAUGACAUUUUAGACUUGGAAAUCCCUAGACAAAUAAAUCUCACUUAAUCCUCACCAAGUUGGCCCCCAGUGGAGACAAUUGCUUAGCCAAGUUUAUCAGGUACCACUAGUUCUUGCAGCAAACAUUCCUUCUGUUCCAGGCAUUGUGCUCGGGUUGGCAAUACAGGAUAAACAAGACAAGGUCCCUGUCCUUGCGGAGCAACCAGACCAUCAGAAGAGACACACAUAAAACAGAGGGGCCUGCUCAUUUUGCAUGCCUCAUACCCAACAUUUCUCCACUCUCACAGGCUCUCCAAGUCCCUACUCUUGCCAUUUCCCAGCUCUGUAAUGUAAAUGGCUUACUGUAUGCCUCAGGCUCCUCAUCUGUAAAAUGGGGUUAUUAAUAGUAU
rnacentral:lncRNA from 1 species